rfam:Triticum aestivum genome assembly, contig: Triticum_aestivum_CS42_TGACv1_scaffold_457217_5DS
UUCGUACUUCCUUCGUCCAAAAAAGCGUGUCUCUCUAAUGGAUGUAUUUAGCAUCAAGUUAGUGUUAGAUACAUCCAUUUGAUGGACAAGUUUAGGACAAGAUUUUUCGGACGGAGGGAGUAGUAA